rnacentral:rRNA from 1 species
GAUGAACGCUAGCGGGAGGCCUAACACAUGCAAGCCGAGCGGUAUUUGUCCUUCGGGACAGAGAGAGCGGCGUACGGGUGCGGAACACGUGUGCAACCUGCCUUUAUCUGGGGGAUAGCCUUUCGAAAGGAAGAUUAAUACCCCAUAAUAUAUCGAAUGGCAUCAUUCGAUAUUGAAAACUCCGGUGGAUAGAGAUGGGCACGCGCAAGAUUAGAUAGUUGGUGAGGUAACGGCUCACCAAGUCAGUGAUCUUUAGGGGGCCUGAGAGGGUGAUCCCCCACACUGGUACUGAGACACGGACCAGACUCCUACGGGAGGCAGCAGUGAGGAAGAUUGGACAAUGGGUGAGAGCCUGAUCCAGCCAUCCCGCGUGAAGGACUAAGGCCCUAUGGGUUGUAAACUUCUUUUAUACUGGGAUAAACCUACUUACGUGUAAGUAGCUGAAGGUACAGUAUGAAUAAGCACCGGCUAACUCCGUG